rnacentral:piRNA from 1 species
UUUUGUUGUCGAGUGAUGAUC